rnacentral:rRNA from 1 species
ACUCAGUGAAAUUGAACUCGCUGUGAAGAUGCAGUGUACCCGCGGCAAGACGGAAAGACCCCGUGAACCUUUACUAUAGCUUGACACUGAACAUUGAGCCUUGAUGUGUAGGAUAGGUGGGAGGCUUUGAAGUGUGGACGCCAGUCUGCAUGGAGCCGACCUUGAAAUACCACCCUUUAAUGUUUGAUGUUCUAACGUGGACCCGUAAUCCGGGUUGCGGACAGUGUCUGGUGGGUAGUUUGACUGGGGCGGUCUCCUCCUAAAGAGUAACGGAGGAGCACGAAGGUUGGCUAAUCCUGGUCGGACAUCAGGAGGUUAGUGCAAUG